rnacentral:lncRNA from 1 species
CGUUAUUUUUUAGUUUUAAGUUGUCAGUCGAAGCAUAAACCAGAUUCUCUGUACCUUGAGCGUCCCCAUGCGCCUCACAACUACGCUGCUGACGUAAACUGUCGUUGAGGGGGGGGACAGUGACGCUGGCGCACACACACACACACACACACACGCCGGAGCCGAGAAGGGGGAAUAGCGUUUUGUUUAUUUUUUUCUUUAAUUUAUAUGAUUUUACCAUUUGGCGUUUUGUUCUUGUUUAGCUGUAUUUGCGUAACAGAGUCGACUGCCUCGCUCCUUAGCUCCUGCUCGCUAGCGUUAACAUUCAUGCCGCUCUCUCCUCACGCGGCGCUAUUUUGACAGUCGGGGUCGCAGCGAACCAACUCAAGCUAGCAGCACCAUUAUAUUAGCAUUGACACAACUUGAAGGAUUUUGUACACGGACUCGAGACGUACGGGCAGCAAAACGACCCACACUUCCAAGUAAGUCGAGACAAUCUGCCUCAUCCAUGAAUAACCUGCACUUGGAGAUGAAUGAUUAUAUUUGCUUUCUAAUCCAAAACUGUGCAUCAUUGUGUGAAGCACCCUGUAUGUGCGUAAGCACAAAGCAGCAGACUGUGUUGAAUCGACUGAAUCAGGCAUUUGUAUCUGCCCACAACAGAUAGUGCUGCUGCUGCUGCUGCUGCUGCUGCUUUUAUAAGAGCUGGCUUGGGUCAUGUGGGUGUCCUGGUCAGU